rnacentral:rRNA from 1 species
GACGAACGCUGGCGGCGUGCCUAAUACAUGCAAGUUGAGCGCUAAAGGCUGUUACUUGUACUAACUGGAUGAGCAGCGGAUGAGUGAGUAGCGCGUAGGGUAUCUUCGUUUUUGCGGUGACCAACGGUUAGAAACGAAUGCUAAUACCGCAUAAAAACGUUAAACACAAGUGGUAGGUUUGAUAGAGGCAAUUGCAUCACUCAAGGAUGAUCCCGCGUUGUAUUAGCUGGUUGGUGUGGUAAAGGCUCACCAGGGCGAUGAUACAUAGCCGAACGGAGAGGGUGGUAGGCGACAUUGGGACGGGGACACGGACCAAAGUACUAAGGGAGGCAGCAGUAGCGAACCUUCGGCAAUGGACGAAAGUCUGACAGAGCGAGGCGGCGUGAGUGACGACGGUGCUCGGAUCGUAAAACUCGGUUGGUAGAGAAGAACGGCGGUGAGAGUGGAAAGAUCAUCAAGUGACGGUAACUACCAAGAAAGGGACGGCUAACUACGUA